AAACUUGUAACCAGUCCGGUAUUUGAAAAUAUGAUAUCAGCAGUCUCUUCUUAAGGUUCAUAGACUGUUUUAUAUAGCUAAAAAAUCUCUCUUCACAAAAAUCGUUAUUACAUAGGUUCGGAAGCAGACUUACGCCGAACUGGAGACCUUUAAACACAGAUGGAGAAAUGCUGUCAAGAACGAUGAGUGCUGGAUAGACCGUUUCCAACCAUAGAGGAUUUCUUGUUUUGGACCAAAUUAUACAAUUCAUAGAAAAGCAAAAGACACGGAGAGAUGACAGCUUAAGAUCUUUCGAUGCUGUUAACCAAUUAAUGGAGGUAUACAUAGAAUUUUCCAAUACUGGAGAUUCUACUUUGAUGAUUCUUCUAUCUCUCGAUUUAUAGAGCCUCAAAGUUUAGCACAAAAAUCUUACUAAUGACUUAUAUAUGUACCACUGGAAAUACACAAGGUUGUGAAAUAAAACUUGAGUUUUUUCUUUUAACAAAUGGGGUUGUCCAUGACAUCUUUGUGUUUUCUCUAUCUUCUUGCGGAGUCGCCCUAGUUAGAUAAGAGCAGAUUUGCUUAUGAUUCUUGAGAUUAGUCCCCCAAUCUCUUCUCCGCAAUCCUCUUGGACAUGAUGACCAGCCUAAUAAUAAGAUCAAAACCGGUUAAUGUUAGCUUUGCUGUUUAUUGAGGUCUCAUGGGUGCAAAAGGAAAUAGUCUGUACCAUUGGAAGUUCAACGAGAUCAUGUCCUGAACUCUUGCAGAACUCUUCAACUCCUUGAUAGCUCAGCCACUUGUCUCGCUGUCCCCAGCACACGGUGGUCGGGAUUUUCCAGUCUUUAUCCAUCAGUGAGGUCCUCAUUUCUUCUGUAUAGCCCUGUCAGGGAAAAUCCAUAUGAAUAUUCCAAUCUUACUCUAGAUAUUCAUCAAACCUUGGUUUUGGUAAGGAACCUUAAGCUCCUUCUUCAUGGCCCUGCUGAUGGCGUUAAGUGCAAAACCAGAAGAACCUGAGGUCAGAUAAGGUCUUCGGUAAACCAUCGCAUCAUCUUCUUUCAUUUUGUAAGGACCACAGCUCGUCAAAGGCUUGUCACUUGCUCUCAGAGGAUCCUAUUGGUUUUAGAUAAGCCUUCAUAUGAGCAAACAGUUAAGAAGCAACUUUGAUGGAAACAAACCUGAGAGAAAAUCUCCCCGAGCAAAAAGUUGCUGAAUACAGACAAGGUUGAUGGAAGUUUAGCAUGUUCGGGAGUGAGCUGCAACCGCAACAAACACAGUCUCUAAGUAAAGUCAGUUUGAAAGAAGAGAAGAAAAUGGUACGUUUCAAUUUUUUGUUUAAAAUCCCUUCCUUACAGGAGGAUUCAAGAGUAUGAGAUUCUUGAUCUUCUCUGGUCGGUUUCUUGCGCAUUUAACCGCAGCAGUUGAGAAGUAUCCCUGAUUAAAAAAGAGAAGUUAACACUGAACAUACCUGUAAUAUUGCUCCGUUAGUUAAGUGAGGAUACUUACCUGCACAACCAGUGAGACCUGAGUAGUAGUAACUUCAUCAAUGAAUGAUUCAAGCGACGAAACAUACUCUGCAAAGCCGCAGAUCAUUGUGAUAAAAUCUUGUAAAUUUAUCAAGAAAAAGUCUGUUCACAACAACUGGGGACAAGAUGUUACCGUCUAAUGUAUAGUUGAAUCCAUAUCCAGCCUGAGGCUUGUCAGAAAAUCCAAAUCCUAGCCAAUCGAAGGCAAUGGCGCGGUAGUUCUUUGACAGGGCGGGAAGAGCUUUCCGGUAAGAGUAAGACUAGUCACAAUAAAAAAAAAUGCUCAAAAUCUGAAACUUAUUCAAGAUAACAAGAUGGGAUGUGUUUCAAGUCAAGUGAUAUUAAUUUACUUACCUGGGAUGGGAAUCCAUGGAUGAGUAUAACAGGAGGACUGUCUACCUUCCCAGAUUCCACACAAAACCACCUAUGGAUACCAAAAAUCAUAAGUCCUAAUGUAAGAUAAGAGAUGAGAAGUUUGUAAUCCUACCUGAAAACAUCUUUUGAAGCUUGAGAGCUAGAUCCCAUUGUUAGUCCGAAAAUGGGAUCUUUGGCUUCUUCACCAGAUCCCCCAACUCUGUGAGCUUUAACCCAUUUGCCUUGCUUUAACCAUUCAUCUGAUGGACUCGGUUGAUCCGAAUACUUCCCUGCCAUGAAGAAACCACAAUUAUUUCUUCUUUUCCUACUAAACCAAGAAGAAGAAGAUGAUGAUUAAAAGAAUGGUAAAAACCUCCACUGAAUGAGAAUCCAUCUCCAGCAGACACAGGAGCAUCAAUAAGAUAGUCCUGUUAAGAAACGAGUUAAUUAUUGCUCAAUGUUUUAUCUUUCAGUAAACUGACUUCGAGCAUACAUCUUUGUUAUUGGACUUGCAGAUGAUUCCGGAAUGUUUUGCAGGAGAAUAUCUGGUGAAGUGAUAUGAAGCAGGUGAUGCAGAGGCCGAUGUAAGAGAUGAUCGGAGCUGAUGAGUGUGCAAAAAGUUAGGGUUCUGAAUAUGAACAGCCAUUAUAUUUUUCUUCUGAUAUGUGUGAGAGAGAGAGAGAGAGAGAGAGAGUGAAUGGUUGUUGGUUUAAACCGUUGCUUCGAGGGUGAGAUAAGCUUUAUGUGGUUGACUGGCUUUCCCCAGUUUCGCCGUGACGGAGACAUCAAUAUUAUUUUCCUUCCGUCUCUUACGAGUAUAACUUUUUUUUUGUGAAACAAGAAAAAAAGGAAUAUAAUUGUUUUAUAAAAAUUUAAAGUGAAAAUCUCGUUGAUUUAUAUUAUUUUAAAAAUUUUAGCUUCGUCAAUUUAAGAAUUCUCAAAUUAAUCAUUUGUAGCUAUUUAUUUUUUUCUGACUGAAUAUCAAACAAUUUAUUUGUUUGAUUUUAAUUUACUAGAAAUGUGCAUUUUAAACGCUUAACUUUUAGGGUUUAUUUGCCAAAUAUCCAAAACAAAAAUUGAAAUUAGAUUUGUAGAGAGAUAGUAGAAAGAGAUAGGAAGAGAAAGAAGGAGAGAGUGUAAGAUUUUAAUUAUUUAGUGAAUUAUAGUUUUUUUUAAGGUUAUAUGGCCUAAUUUCCCUAAUUUUUACUAUGUAAUACACCAAACUAUAAAAAGUUUUAUCAAACGGACAAUGUUGAGAUUUAUUAUUCUAAAUAGAUGUUUGUCUCCCUACAUUUUCAUAUUUUGUACCGAAACAUUUAUUUAAAAGAUAUGCAAAGUAGUGUGUAGCCAAAUGCUAUCAUGUUUAAAUUUGCCAAGAGCAUAUCCACCUAUACAGUGCAGAUAAUUGUUUACUUUUGUUAAGCUACAAAAAGAUGUUAAGCUGUAAGAGUGAUUCGCAUGAAAAAUCUAUUACAAUAAAAGAGAGUUACCUCUCUCUAUAUGCCACCACGUCAUCAGGAAAUAUAAGACGUUUUUGGACACUUGGCACUUCACCAAACCAGCCCGCGUCUGAUUUGAUUUUGUAUCAUCCGGUUUAUCUCAUGCCUCUAUCCUGGACUGGGCCAUUAUUACAACUUUUCCUUGGGCCUUUGAAAACACUAUGACAAGCUCACUAGAAUUUUAUGUUUCUUCUUCUUCUUUGCGGUUGCGACAGUGGACAAUUUUUUUUCAGAACUAAAGGGACGUUCCAAUCUCUCCCGUAACGUAUCAAUACUUCAUUAAUCUGUUCUUAACUCUGAGGUUUUGCGUGAUUAGCCCACUCCUCCCACUGGAAAGCAUUCAAUCGACAUCUUUAAUCUAACUUUAAGAUGAUAUUGUUUAUUUUUCUUCGUGACCUUUGUGAUUUCUCCAUCUUCUUCCACUCACUUCAUCUGUUAUUGACAUCAUAAUUCCUCUUCAACCCUCAUUCUCUCUAUAGAAAGCCAGAUGCAAGUGAAAGAAAACCUAACAAACUAGGGAAUUAAGAUUCACCGAAUGAGCACUACAAAAACUUGGCUUCAAGCGAUCUCAGGGAUCAAAACCGGAAAACAAAAUAGCAUAGCUAUUUCGAGAAAAGAUUGUGUCUCUCUCCCUUGUCCAUGGUCAAAUUGGUCCUCCAAAAGUCGAAUCGUUAGUUUGUCUUUGCUUCCUAUUUUCAACUCGAGUCCUCGAUUUUCAAAUAACUACCGUGUGACUGGUAGAUUUUAGAGUAACUAGGAGAAAUAAAAGUGGAGGAACUAAGAGGAAAAGUAGCAGAGCAAAACAUAAAGAAAAUAAAAUGAAAUCAGGUGUAACUUACUUUCCACUUCAUAAACAGUGAGGUAAUAAAGUGUACUAUAUACCACCAGUUAAACAGUGGGGAGCGUAAGGGAGAUGGAAAUUAAUUUUACCUGAUUGGCAAACAUAUAAGUUGAACAGAGAGUAAAAAUAUUAUCGCUAAACAAUUCUCGCAGGAAAAAAUUAUCGCUGGAAGUGCUUUCCAGUCAGACACUACAUAUAUUCUGCUCUGUUUUUUAUUUCUUGCAGGAAGGAUAUUCGUCUUACCCAUUAGGUAAAUAGAAAACCCAUAUUAGCUUUGUUUUAAUUAUGUAUUACCUUUCCUACCAAUGAAUUUAUGCUAAUUGAAUAUGUUAAUUAGCUUUUGAACUCCAUGUUUCAGCUUUUGAACUCCAUGUCACAGAUGUUUUCUUCUACUGAUAGAAAGUUGAUUUGGAGGCGUGUAACAUGUGAGUCAGUCUCCACGUCAAUCUAACCGUAGCAAUGAGCCGACAUGAGCCUCAAAUGCUCUUGCUCUUUUUAUAUAAUCUGUUUCUAUAUAUUCUGAAGAAAUAUUUUUAAAAAAUUAGUUACCUUUCUCCUGCCUAAAUUUAUAUUAAGCAUUGUAUUCUUAUGGGUUUGGAAGGCUGACAAUCACACACUUAAUGAAUUCUGCAGGUAUUCUUAUGGGUGUGCAGUACUUCCUUCGACGUGCAAAGAUUACGGGAAAGAAAAUCACGGCUUGUCUUAUCUUUGCAAGCCCUAUGGCCGCAACACUCCGGCAGCGGCGUUCAGACUGAGGUUAGCUCUUGAGCUUGGGAUUCAUUGCUUGAACGUAAUUUUUAUAGUCUUGAGUUGGGUGUUUUGCGUUUAUAACCAGCUCCAGUUAUGGUAAUUGUGAAAGUGCAUUGCUUUAGUGUUGUUUUCUGCCGUCUACAUGCCUUACUUACAUCUUACAUAAUCUUUUUUUCAAGGACAAUGAUGAACGUGGUGAAGAUCUUUUGUUGGCUGCAUUACUCUGCAAACUCAUACAUGGUUGGUUAGUAAUCGAGCCUGCAUAUUUGUCUUUUUUUUUUUUUGCUAUUAUUGUUCUCAAACAACUAAUAUUGUUUAGAUGUAACCAUGUUUUGGUUUGCACCAGAUAGCGAUAUGCUUUGUAGUUGAUGGUUGGAAUCAGAAUAAUACAGUUUCCUACCUGUUCUCAAGAAGCAAUUCUCUUGCAGCAUGUACUUCACUACUCUCUUUCUUUCUUAUGUUGAUAAUUUUGAAUUCUUUUACUAAUUUGUUUUAGUUGUAUUGCAGGUUAUUUCAGAGUUUUCAACCUUUCCAUGUUUGUACCAUCCAUGUAAAUAUACUUUCUUGGAUUGAAAAACCAACUUCUCUUUUACAAAAUUCCUACGUUAGGAGGUUCGGCUGAAAAUAAGGUUUGAUACUGCCUCUCUUGCCAAUCCUUUAGCCUAGCCUUUAUUAUUUUUAUUUGGAAAGUAACAAUAGUUACUGCAUAUAAGCAGAUAGAUUCGGAACAACUUGAUAAGACCAAGACUGAGGAUAGUUCAGACAAAUCGGUAUGCAAUUCAAUUCAUUUUCUUGUAAUUGCUCUCUCAGUUGGAUAUAGUCUAAUAGCUGUUGUCAUGCAGAAACCAUCAUCAACUUCUCAAAUUUCAUCUGCUAGAUCUGAGGUAAACUUGUAACCAGUCCGGUAUUUGAAAAUAUGAUAUCAGCAGUCUCUUCUUAAGGUUCAUAGACUGUUUUAUAUAGCUAAAAAAUCUCUCUUCACAAAAAUCGUUAUUACAUAGGUUCGGAAGCAGACUUACGCCGAACUGGAGACCUUUAAACACAGAUGGAGAAAUGCUGUCAAGAACGAUGAGUGCUGGAUAGACCGUUUCCAACCAUAGAGGAUUUCUUGUUUUGGACCAAAUUAUACAAUUCAUAGAAAAGCAAAAGACACGGAGAGAUGACAGCUUAAGAUCUUUCGAUGCUGUUAACCAAUUAAUGGAGGUAUACAUAGAAUUUUCCAAUACUGGAGAUUCUACUUUGAUGAUUCUUCUAUCUCUCGAUUUAUAGAGCCUCAAAGUUUAGCACAAAAAUCUUACUAAUGACUUAUAUAUGUACCACUGGAAAUACACAAGGUUGUGAAAUAAAACUUGAGUUUUUUCUUUUAACAAAUGGGGUUGUCCAUGACAUCUUUGUGUUUUCUCUAUCUUCUUGCGGAGUCGCCCUAGUUAGAUAAGAGCAGAUUUGCUUAUGAUUCUUGAGAUUAGUCCCCCAAUCUCUUCUCCGCAAUCCUCUUGGACAUGAUGACCAGCCUAAUAAUAAGAUCAAAACCGGUUAAUGUUAGCUUUGCUGUUUAUUGAGGUCUCAUGGGUGCAAAAGGAAAUAGUCUGUACCAUUGGAAGUUCAACGAGAUCAUGUCCUGAACUCUUGCAGAACUCUUCAACUCCUUGAUAGCUCAGCCACUUGUCUCGCUGUCCCCAGCACACGGUGGUCGGGAUUUUCCAGUCUUUAUCCAUCAGUGAGGUCCUCAUUUCUUCUGUAUAGCCCUGUCAGGGAAAAUCCAUAUGAAUAUUCCAAUCUUACUCUAGAUAUUCAUCAAACCUUGGUUUUGGUAAGGAACCUUAAGCUCCUUCUUCAUGGCCCUGCUGAUGGCGUUAAGUGCAAAACCAGAAGAACCUGAGGUCAGAUAAGGUCUUCGGUAAACCAUCGCAUCAUCUUCUUUCAUUUUGUAAGGACCACAGCUCGUCAAAGGCUUGUCACUUGCUCUCAGAGGAUCCUAUUGGUUUUAGAUAAGCCUUCAUAUGAGCAAACAGUUAAGAAGCAACUUUGAUGGAAACAAACCUGAGAGAAAAUCUCCCCGAGCAAAAAGUUGCUGAAUACAGACAAGGUUGAUGGAAGUUUAGCAUGUUCGGGAGUGAGCUGCAACCGCAACAAACACAGUCUCUAAGUAAAGUCAGUUUGAAAGAAGAGAAGAAAAUGGUACGUUUCAAUUUUUUGUUUAAAAUCCCUUCCUUACAGGAGGAUUCAAGAGUAUGAGAUUCUUGAUCUUCUCUGGUCGGUUUCUUGCGCAUUUAACCGCAGCAGUUGAGAAGUAUCCCUGAUUAAAAAAGAGAAGUUAACACUGAACAUACCUGUAAUAUUGCUCCGUUAGUUAAGUGAGGAUACUUACCUGCACAACCAGUGAGACCUGAGUAGUAGUAACUUCAUCAAUGAAUGAUUCAAGCGACGAAACAUACUCUGCAAAGCCGCAGAUCAUUGUGAUAAAAUCUUGUAAAUUUAUCAAGAAAAAGUCUGUUCACAACAACUGGGGACAAGAUGUUACCGUCUAAUGUAUAGUUGAAUCCAUAUCCAGCCUGAGGCUUGUCAGAAAAUCCAAAUCCUAGCCAAUCGAAGGCAAUGGCGCGGUAGUUCUUUGACAGGGCGGGAAGAGCUUUCCGGUAAGAGUAAGACUAGUCACAAUAAAAAAAAAUGCUCAAAAUCUGAAACUUAUUCAAGAUAACAAGAUGGGAUGUGUUUCAAGUCAAGUGAUAUUAAUUUACUUACCUGGGAUGGGAAUCCAUGGAUGAGUAUAACAGGAGGACUGUCUACCUUCCCAGAUUCCACACAAAACCACCUAUGGAUACCAAAAAUCAUAAGUCCUAAUGUAAGAUAAGAGAUGAGAAGUUUGUAAUCCUACCUGAAAACAUCUUUUGAAGCUUGAGAGCUAGAUCCCAUUGUUAGUCCGAAAAUGGGAUCUUUGGCUUCUUCACCAGAUCCCCCAACUCUGUGAGCUUUAACCCAUUUGCCUUGCUUUAACCAUUCAUCUGAUGGACUCGGUUGAUCCGAAUACUUCCCUGCCAUGAAGAAACCACAAUUAUUUCUUCUUUUCCUACUAAACCAAGAAGAAGAAGAUGAUGAUUAAAAGAAUGGUAAAAACCUCCACUGAAUGAGAAUCCAUCUCCAGCAGACACAGGAGCAUCAAUAAGAUAGUCCUGUUAAGAAACGAGUUAAUUAUUGCUCAAUGUUUUAUCUUUCAGUAAACUGACUUCGAGCAUACAUCUUUGUUAUUGGACUUGCAGAUGAUUCCGGAAUGUUUUGCAGGAGAAUAUCUGGUGAAGUGAUAUGAAGCAGGUGAUGCAGAGGCCGAUGUAAGAGAUGAUCGGAGCUGAUGAGUGUGCAAAAAGUUAGGGUUCUGAAUAUGAACAGCCAUUAUAUUUUUCUUCUGAUAUGUGAGAGAGAGAGAGAGAGAGAGAGAGAGUGAAUGGUUGUUGGUUUAAACCGUUGCUUCGAGGGUGAGAUAAGCUUUAUGUGGUUGACUGGCUUUCCCCAGUUUCGCCGUGACGGAGACAUCAAUAUUAUUUUCCUUCCGUCUCUUACGAGUAUAACUUUUUUUUUGUGAAACAAGAAAAAAAGGAAUAUAAUUGUUUUAUAAAAAUUUAAAGUGAAAAUCUCGUUGAUUUAUAUUAUUUUAAAAAUUUUAGCUUCGUCAAUUUAAGAAUUCUCAAAUUAAUCAUUUGUAGCUAUUUAUUUUUUUCUGACUGAAUAUCAAACAAUUUAUUUGUUUGAUUUUAAUUUACUAGAAAUGUGCAUUUUAAACGCUUAACUUUUAGGGUUUAUUUGCCAAAUAUCCAAAACAAAAAUUGAAAUUAGAUUUGUAGAGAGAUAGUAGAAAGAGAUAGGAAGAGAAAGAAGGAGAGAGUGUAAGAUUUUAAUUAUUUAGUGAAUUAUAGUUUUUUUUAAGGUUAUAUGGCCUAAUUUCCCUAAUUUUUACUAUGUAAUACACCAAACUAUAAAAAGUUUUAUCAAACGGACAAUGUUGAGAUUUAUUAUUCUAAAUAGAUGUUUGUCUCCCUACAUUUUCAUAUUUUGUACCGAAACAUUUAUUUAAAAGAUAUGCAAAGUAGUGUGUAGCCAAAUGCUAUCAUGUUUAAAUUUGCCAAGAGCAUAUCCACCUAUACAGUGCAGAUAAUUGUUUACUUUUGUUAAGCUACAAAAAGAUGUUAAGCUGUAAGAGUGAUUCGCAUGAAAAAUCUAUUACAAUAAAAGAGAGUUACCUCUCUCUAUAUGCCACCACGUCAUCAGGAAAUAUAAGACGUUUUUGGACACUUGGCACUUCACCAAACCAGCCCGCGUCUGAUUUGAUUUUGUAUCAUCCGGUUUAUCUCAUGCCUCUAUCCUGGACUGGGCCAUUAUUACAACUUUUCCUUGGGCCUUUGAAAACACUAUGACAAGCUCACUAGAAUUUUAUGUUUCUUCUUCUUCUUUGCGGUUGCGACAGUGGACAAUUUUUUUUCAGAACUAAAGGGACGUUCCAAUCUCUCCCGUAACGUAUCAAUACUUCAUUAAUCUGUUCUUAACUCUGAGGUUUUGCGUGAUUAGCCCACUCCUCCCACUGGAAAGCAUUCAAUCGACAUCUUUAAUCUAACUUUAAGAUGAUAUUGUUUAUUUUUCUUCGUGACCUUUGUGAUUUCUCCAUCUUCUUCCACUCACUUCAUCUGUUAUUGACAUCAUAAUUCCUCUUCAACCCUCAUUCUCUCUAUAGAAAGCCAGAUGCAAGUGAAAGAAAACCUAACAAACUAGGGAAUUAAGAUUCACCGAAUGAGCACUACAAAAACUUGGCUUCAAGCGAUCUCAGGGAUCAAAACCGGAAAACAAAAUAGCAUAGCUAUUUCGAGAAAAGAUUGUGUCUCUCUCCCUUGUCCAUGGUCAAAUUGGUCCUCCAAAAGUCGAAUCGUUAGUUUGUCUUUGCUUCCUAUUUUCAACUCGAGUCCUCGAUUUUCAAAUAACUACCGUGUGACUGGUAGAUUUUAGAGUAACUAGGAGAAAUAAAAGUGGAGGAACUAAGAGGAAAAGUAGCAGAGCAAAACAUAAAGAAAAUAAAAUGAAAUCAGGUGUAACUUACUUUCCACUUCAUAAACAGUGAGGUAAUAAAGUGUACUAUAUACCACCAGUUAAACAGUGGGGAGCGUAAGGGAGAUGGAAAUUAAUUUUACCUGAUUGGCAAACAUAUAAGUUGAACAGAGAGUAAAAAUAUUAUCGCUAAACAAUUCUCGCAGGAAAAAAUUAUCGCUGGAAGUGCUUUCCAGUCAGACACUACAUAUAUUCUGCUCUGUUUUUUAUUUCUUGCAGGAAGGAUAUUCGUCUUACCCAUUAGGUAAAUAGAAAACCCAUAUUAGCUUUGUUUUAAUUAUGUAUUACCUUUCCUACCAAUGAAUUUAUGCUAAUUGAAUAUGUUAAUUAGCUUUUGAACUCCAUGUUUCAGCUUUUGAACUCCAUGUCACAGAUGUUUUCUUCUACUGAUAGAAAGUUGAUUUGGAGGCGUGUAACAUGUGAGUCAGUCUCCACGUCAAUCUAACCGUAGCAAUGAGCCGACAUGAGCCUCAAAUGCUCUUGCUCUUUUUAUAUAAUCUGUUUCUAUAUAUUCUGAAGAAAUAUUUUUAAAAAAUUAGUUACCUUUCUCCUGCCUAAAUUUAUAUUAAGCAUUGUAUUCUUAUGGGUUUGGAAGGCUGACAAUCACACACUUAAUGAAUUCUGCAGGUAUUCUUAUGGGUGUGCAGUACUUCCUUCGACGUGCAAAGAUUACGGGAAAGAAAAUCACGGCUUGUCUUAUCUUUGCAAGCCCUAUGGCCGCAACACUCCGGCAGCGGCGUUCAGACUGAGGUUAGCUCUUGAGCUUGGGAUUCAUUGCUUGAACGUAAUUUUUAUAGUCUUGAGUUGGGUGUUUUGCGUUUAUAACCAGCUCCAGUUAUGGUAAUUGUGAAAGUGCAUUGCUUUAGUGUUGUUUUCUGCCGUCUACAUGCCUUACUUACAUCUUACAUAAUCUUUUUUUCAAGGACAAUGAUGAACGUGGUGAAGAUCUUUUGUUGGCUGCAUUACUCUGCAAACUCAUACAUGGUUGGUUAGUAAUCGAGCCUGCAUAUUUGUCUUUUUUUUUUUUUGCUAUUAUUGUUCUCAAACAACUAAUAUUGUUUAGAUGUAACCAUGUUUUGGUUUGCACCAGAUAGCGAUAUGCUUUGUAGUUGAUGGUUGGAAUCAGAAUAAUACAGUUUCCUACCUGUUCUCAAGAAGCAAUUCUCUUGCAGCAUGUACUUCACUACUCUCUUUCUUUCUUAUGUUGAUAAUUUUGAAUUCUUUUACUAAUUUGUUUUAGUUGUAUUGCAGGUUAUUUCAGAGUUUUCAACCUUUCCAUGUUUGUACCAUCCAUGUAAAUAUACUUUCUUGGAUUGAAAAACCAACUUCUCUUUUACAAAAAAAAAAAAAAAAAAACAAGUUCUUAAUAUACCAUGAUGUUCAUGGUAACAUUACAUGGUUCAUGGUAACAUUACAUGGAUCAUGGUAAGUAUUCAAUCUUUCCAUGUUUGAUGCUAAAUUAUAUUUUUUAAACACAACAAGGAAAUAUAAAUGAUCCUAAACAAAUAUCUAUUCUAUUGUAUAAUUAAAUAAAUUUUAAAAAUAUUUUUCAAUGCAAACUGUAGAAAUUAAAAAUAUAUUUUGAAGGAGACUAUAUGUUUGAUUAUUUCAAAUUAUGAACUUAUUUUACCAAAUUUGAAAUUAUAUUAUUAUGUAAUAAGAAAUUUAUAACAAAUAAAAAUUUAUAAAAAAUCUUUAUAUAUUAACAAUGGCAAAUAAAAAAUUAAAUAAAAUUAUAAAAUUACAUUAUAUAUAGCAUUAAAAUGCAAAUAAUAUAUUUAAUUUUUUUUAGGAUUAUAUCAAAGUUAUACAUUUAUAACAUAGGAAGGAAAAAAGUAAUCGACAAUAAAAAAAAAAAGGAAAAGGUUAUAGUCUUUGCUAGAUUUAGAAACAUACAUUUGCUUUUUCCCCAAAAAAAACAGUUCCUAUACUUUUGACUUUUGACAACAAGAUACUUGAAUUACUAAUUAGUAAUGAUCCAUUUGAUAUUGACAUACUAUAUUGACCCAUUUAUAAGAUGUAUAUUGUUUUAAUUUAUAAGAACAUCUAUAUAUCAUGUAAAUCCCAAUUUAAAUUUAUAUAUGUUUGAAUUAAAUUACAUAAAAACUUAUGUUCAAAUAAUAUACCUUCAAAUCUAACAUAUUAAAAACAAAAAUAAAAUUUUAUUUAAUAUUCAAUCAUUUAUUUUGUCAUUUCUAUAAAUAUCUUAUAUUAAAUGCUUAAAUAUUAGUGGAUAUGAAUAUUUUUUAAAUUGUCAUAAAAUUCAAAACAAAAAUACUAAAUAAUUAUUAUUUCUUACUACUACUUAUAACUUAAAUUGAAAUUAGAUCCAUUUAUUAGUUUUAAUAAUAGAUAAGGAUAUAUAAAAUAAUUAUCAAAUUUUUUUUAACUUUGUAUAUAUUAGUUUGUCAAAUAAUAAACACAAUCCAAAAUAUAUAUAUAAUAAGAAGCAACAAAUACAUGUGAGUUUAAAAUACUUAAUUGAAUAAAAUAAACAAACUAUAAAAUCUAGGUGUUUGAAAAUAAUAUAAAUAAUUAAAUAUAUAUACACAUAAAAUUAAAACAAACACCAGUACGGUCGUACGGAACAAGCUCUAGUUUGUAUUAAAAUGUAAUUUUCUUUUUGUGUUCAAUGAAUUUUGUUUCCAUCAAAUUGCUUAUCUAUUACUCAACCAAUGUAAUAAAAUUCCCAUUGAAAAUUUGAUAGACCAUGGAUUUUACCCAUUUUUAGCCAUGGUCUAUAAGUGCUUUAAUAUAUAUUUAUUACUAUAUAGAGUUUAUUUAGAGUAUUUACAGGUUCAGAGACGAUUUGGAGGAAUGUGAUGAUUUUGGUGUCUUUUGGAGCCUUUUGAGUGUAAACCUGCACAGACGCGUCAGAUGUCUAGCUAUGGAUGGAGACCUUCCGACCGUUAGAUUGAGCUCAUUUUUUGGCACAAGAUAGAUCUUUGAGUAGCUUUCCAAUGCCACCGGUUUGAGGUCAAUCAGCAUCCUGUAGCAGAAGUUAUGCUUGUUUUACUGAAGAGUGGUCAGUCUGCCUCGCAAGAGGAAGCUGUCGAGGAGAUGAAGGACUGUCGAUCGAUAUCACAGCAUUGGUGUCGAUCGACAGUGAUGCCAGAAUAUGGGCUGAGCAUAUUUUAUGACCGACUGAAGCCCAGAAGUAACCCCAAAUUACCAGAAUACCCUUGGACGACCAGAAACCCUAUUUAUGUUAUUUAUAAGGCAUUGUUGACGGCUACACGCUAUCUAAGCUUUCUUUUAUUCUUGUUCUAGGUUAGGAGAGAAGAGAGGAACUCCUUCAGAGUCCUCUUGGAACUCCAUUGUUUUGGUUUUAUUUAUAUUUUAUGUUAUUCAUCUAUGAUUUCUGUGACAAACAUCAUGCAUGAGUAGAUCCACCUGCUAGGUUUAGGAAUUUCUAGGGUUUUGAAUGAAUUUCUGAAUUAUAUGACUCUUAGGAUAUCUAAAGAUCUCUACAUCAGGAUAGCUUGUAAUACUAGGAUCUAGAGUAGUUGGAAAACCACGAGAGUGUGACUAAUUGCUUGAACCUAGAAUCAUAGGAAAAUUGAGAGGCACGAGAGUGCAAUCAAUUAGCGGAACCCGAAUCCUGCUGGAUUAGAUACCUAGGCGCAUACGAGAGUUGGUCUAGGAAUCUAGUUGAACAUAAUCGAUCAGAUCGAUAACGCUUGCCUAAGGCAGUGUCGAUCGACGCUUAUACCAUAGCAUCGAUCGACACUCAAUCCGUAGCAUCGAUCGACGCUCAUACCAUAGCAUCGAUCGAUGCUCGAUCUAUGUUAACAUGCGAGAGCUGAAACACUGAACUUAGUCAAUAGUUUAGACUUACAGCGAGAGUUGGUUGUCUUUUGCAUUAGAUAUCGAGUUCUAGAAUCAAUCCUUAGCAUCUAUAGUUUAGAGUUGUAAUAACCUGAAUGAAACCCUAAGUCUAGUAACCAUCUUCCCAUCAAACAACUCCCUGCCAAGCUGAACAAUUGUCUUGUUCAACUUGUUUACUGCUUUAUUUACUGCUUUGCUAUAUUUAUUUACUGCUUUAUAAACUAUUAGUCUAGCUUAAUCAUAUAACUAUUAGAUCUAAUUGGUUCCCUAGCUCCAUGUGAAUUCGAUCUCUAAGUACUACAACUCGACCUCUUAUUUGAGAGAGUAUAAAUCACUCCUUAGUGUAAUUUGAGUGAUAUCAAAAUUGUACCUAAGAAAUAAUCAAAAGAAACAUUUUCCGACCAGGGAAGAUAAAUAAUAAUAAAAUCAUUGAAUCUAGCCUUUAGUCUUAACACCUCUUUUAGCUCCGUUGAAAACCUCAACCAUGCUCCUGAAUCUUGAAUCAUUGUGAUUAACUCUCUUGAGUCUGUCCCAAAAACCUGGCACGUCGACAUUUGUAGCAUACACUCCAUAGCCCAGGAUAGCGCUUCAAGUUCUGAUUGUAAGGAUGAUAUCCUUCUUCUUUGGUUUUUGGCUCCCAAAAGUUGUAUUUUCCCUCUGGAAUUCUUCUAUGUCCAUCCAUAACCAUUGAAGAGUGCAUCAUGUCCAUGAGCCAUCGAUCAUACAAAUCUCGGAGAUUAUGAUUUGUAAAGAAGUUGUUUAGCUUCUGGUAUAUCCUUUCGUUUGCUGUGAACUUCAAACCAUGCAUGGCAUUCUGAUUCCGCAUGUCGAACAGUUACCAAUGGGUCUCUGUUUAACUUUUUGAACAAUUUUUUAUUCGUUACUUUCUAAAUAUACCAGAUAAUUCAAGAAUAUAAAUUUCUAUCCAAAUAUAGGUUUUCAAUAUCGUUCUUUCGCCAAAAGAGACAAUCUAUAUCCAUGUAUUGACUUGAGGAAGAGAAAAACAAGGGCGGUGUAAGAGUUGCUGCUAUAGACCAUAUUUGUAUUGCUGUGGACAUUUAAAAAUUGCAUGAUUGACAGUUUCAUUUUCAGCUUCACAUCUAGAACAAUGAUUAUUACAUAUCUAGAACAAUGAUUACUACAUCACAUAUGACAAUGGACCAGAAUAAUAGUAACAACUAGAUGUCAAGAUACCAUUUGCCAUAUAAAGGAAUGAUUUUUUUACGGUGCUUUGUCCUUUCAUUCUCUCAAGCAAAGAUUUGAAGUUCUGCAAUACGCGGUUCUGAAUUCGGCACCUCUGUCUCCUUGUUAAGCACAUUCGUAGCCACCCAAUAAAGGUUUAUUGUCAGAUAACAAAUCAUUAUGUGAAUAAAGACCAAGAAAUAGUUAAGAGAAGAUCCAUAGUAUUACACAAUGACGACCCCGAGAUUCAUAAUUCUUGCUCAGACAAAAGUAAAAAAGAAACAAUGGUGCAAGAGAGUCUUUGUAGGUAAAAUAAAAUACUGGUGAAGCUCAUAUUUUGAACUACAUUCAUUUGACGUAAUAUGGAAGGUCAAGAACGUAGAGCAGAAAGUAAGCCCAAGUCACACCAGAGAUCCCUCCGAAGAAGAACCCUCCCGUGAAUUUUGCCCAUCCCUCAGCUGUCUGAAGCUGGUCGGGCUGCUUCUUCCGCCCAGUCAACGUCAAACUCGGAGCAAUUGAAGGCUCACCUUCCUUGAACGAAGAGAUUCCGUAGAUAGUGAGGCACAUGCUGAGGAUGACUACAAGCCCAGCGGCGGCUAAGGAGCCGGCGGAACCAGCGUAAGCAGUGUUCCUUAAUGGGCCAGCUUUGACGAAUGGGCCCACUAAGAGGAAACCAUGUGCCAAGCCCACUUCGACACCACGGAGGAGAGGGUUGACGGCGGUGCGGUAAGCCGGGAGGUUGGAAAGAUACCACGCAAUCAAUGGGCUUGACGUUACAGGAGUCUCCAAACUUCCGAUGAAUGGAUCGCCGUUGAUUGGUUGGACCACUUGAAAUGUUGGCUGCCAAAUUUACUCGUCAGAUUAUUUGCGUUUUAGGUUUUUGAUCGAUAUAUCUCUAUAUAUAUGGAGCAUAUAACUUUUCAUUGCAUACAUCAAGACGGCAACUUAUCAUUCUCUUGUCAUUUAAAUACCGUAAAAGAGGUUAUACAGAGUUAUAAAAAAUUGUGAUGCCUUGUUAUGGUUAUUGAAUCCUAACAAAUCAUCUAGAUAUGACUAAAAUGUUGUUUUUCCUAAAUUUCGUAAGAUAUCAUAGCGCAUGAUUGAUAAUUGGUAUUGAAAUAUGCAUGAGUAAUUGUAGAUUUGGCACAUAAUUAAUCUGAUCUGUUUCUUGUCCAAUUGUUAACUUUAUGAUAAAUACCUUGUCGGACUGAACAGCUCGGACAGUGAAGGAAGAGAUUCUCUUGGUCGGAUAAACGCCGAAAGAAGGGCCGGAGAUCCCCUUAGGGACGGCUAGACGCCUAGCAAUUGAAGUGGAAGAGAAGCUGCUCCUUAGCUGGCUCGCCAUUGGAGAUGCACUUGCUGCCAUUGUUUUUGUGAAACAAAAAUCAAAACGACUUCAGUAUGUGAUGAAGAAAUAAGCAAAUCUACGAGACGUAAGAUUGGAUAUGCUGAAGUGGCAUGAUAGAGGAUCUCGUUCGUAAGAUUUUGUGGCUCUUAGAGGUAUAUGUGUUUUUUUAUCUGAUUCUCAUUGGAUGUUAUCUUAUCCUCUUGGAGCCAACAUUUUCUUUUAUACUUACAUACUAUGGGUAUGAAGUAAAUAUAUUUUGUACAAUAUAUUUUAUAAUUUUAAACAAUUUUGGUAUUUUAGUAAAGAAAAUAUUUAGCAGACAUACGAAGAUAUUUUUACUGUAUUUAAGUUUCUGCAUUAUUGGUUUUGAAAUUAUUUUAAAAUAAUCAAAAUUUGAAUAUAUCUAUAAAAGUAUUUUGUUUUAUCUAAAACUAGGAGUUUUGCCCGCACAUGCGGGCAUAUAAACUUGAUAAAUAUUUAUUAAUAAAUAUACUAUUAGUUUAAAGAUCAAAAAGAUUAAAUUAAAUAUUAAAUUUAUACUAUUUUAUGAAUCUUUCAAUUUCUUAAUUUUUAUUGAUUUAAAAAUAUUAUUUUGGAUAACAAUAUUAAUAUCUUGUAUUUUAAAAUACGUUGUUAUCUUGAACACAUUUUUACUAUAUAAGAUUUAUAAAAAAUGAUAUAAUUAAAUAAACAAAUAUAUAAUUGUUAAUAUAAAGUGAUGUUAUUAAACCAAAUUCUAAGAAUUAGCAUAUACUACAAAAUCUCAAAAUAAAUCAAAAGCACAAGAAUGUUAAACCAAACUCAGAUUUACAUAUUAUAUUAGUCAAAGUAAAUAAGAAUAUUGAUAUAUGUAUAAGUAAUUAAUUAUACUGUAAAAUACUUGCUAUAAUAACUAAAUUAACACUCAAGCAGACCAACUAUGUCGACAAACAAAACAUUAAUAUGUAAUGUAUAAGAUAAGAACAUUUUCUAUAUAUUGUUGUUUUUAUUUCUAAAUGCUAUAAUAGAGAACAAUAAGCUAUAGUCAAUCCAUAGUUUUUUACUUUAAAAUGGAAAUUACUAUUUUCCUAUAAAAUAAUAUUUCUUAAUUGUAAAUCAUAGUUUGUUAUAUUCAAAUGGUCUUUUAACUUUCAAACUUUAAUAAUUAUAACUAAGACAAAUCAUUUUGGAAAAUACAGUUUUUAUAAAAAAUAAUAGAAUCAUUUUUUUAUUUACAUAAUAGUCUUUUAAGGAAAUUUUAAUUUAAACAAAGGUAUAAUUCUUUGAAACUCUUGAAAAAUUAAAAGUAAAUAAAGUAAAUUUUAAAUUUUCAUAAAUAUAAGGUACUUGUUGUAAAAAAUAUAUAUAUAUUUUGAAAAUAUUUUUUUUUUGAAAGUUAUUCUUGCAACUGGAUGAUAACUGAUAACAAUAAAUAUUUAGUAAAAAUAAAAACAAAGAAAUAUUAAAUUUUCAACUUAAAUAACAAAUACAAGUUAUUCUUGCGAAUGAAUGAUAAGAAUAAAAAUGAAAAUAUCACAAAAAUCAGGUUAACAAACAAAUAUAAAUCAAAUUUGUUGGUAUUGUUUAUAUACUUCUUUUUAGUAUUUUAAUACUAAAAUAAAUUUAAUAAUUUUUAAAAAUAUGCCAUGACAUAUUAUGUUUACAAACAAAUAUAAAUCAAUUUUUUGUUAUUUUGUAUAAAACUAUUUAUAAUAUUUUAGUAUAAUGAUAAAUCUAAUUAUGAUAUGUGUAUAUAUAAUACUAUUUAUAAAAAUAAAAAAAAUAAGAAAUAAAGAUGUAGAUAAACACAAAAUAAAUACAUGGAAUUAUCUUCUUUUUCGAAAAUGUUUUCCAUUUAUUUUUGAGAUAUUUUUAUAAUAUUAUUUUGUAAUCCGUUAAAUAAUGAAUUAUAUAAUUUAUUUAUUAGAUAUUAAAACUUUAAUUAGUCAAAUUAAAAUUGUUUAAUGAUUCAGCCUAAAAUCAUGGAGAAAAUGACAAAUAGGCAAAUUCACUUCUCAAAUAAUAGUAUAGAUAGAUUAUGUGACCUUUAUUAAUCUUCGUUACUUUUGAAUUUUUUUUAAAUAAUUGGAUUUUAUUUUCCUAACUUUUAGAAGGCUACACAUCUAUAUAUAAAUAAUGCAAGGAGGUGAUGCCACGUGUCCCACUCCACAAAACUCACGUUUCAUUUAUUCAGAAAGUCAUGCGGUCUUGCUAUUGUUUUGGUCCUCAUUUCGAACAAACCAGCUUGACGGCCUGGUAGAGUCAACUCUAAUCUUUGCUUCACGCCGUCUUACAGAAUUUUAGGGUUCGUCUUUGUUCUUCAUUCAAUCGCGACCUCUGAACUUCGUCUCCAUCACCGAAACGGUCUAUGUUACAGAAUCUUCGUGUGUUAAAUCUCUUAUUAAUUCAAUCAGUCACGAUGUAGCCUUCAAUGCAAGAUUUUCUUCAGCGAGACGGUGUACCUCCGACAAUAAAAAGGCAAGCAUUCCUCCUCUCAAAAUCAUCUUAUCAAUCUGUUCAAAUAACGCAAUAGACUUAUCAAUCUGUUCAAAUCACCUUAACUCCAAAGUUUUCUAUCAAGUCCGGUGAAUAUUCUUCAUUGCUGCGAUUCUGGAAAGCGGUGGUGAUGAACUCAUGUCCGUUGAUAUGCUUUUACUUGAUUCAGACGUGAGUAUGUUCUUAAGCAUUUUAUAAUAGUGAUGUCAAUUUUACGGUGACCUACUAUCAACACUGGUAGCUGUUAUAUAUGAUUUUUCAUUCAGCAUUUAGCUUCCGCCUCUUUUGUGAAACCUUCUCAAUUCUGUUUCAGACGACUUUUAUGCCAGCCACCAUAAGUGCUAACCGGGUUCAAAUCUUAUCUUCAAGCGCAGGCGAGAAAGAAAUAGAGUUCGAGCCGGAAGAUUAUCAACCAAGAAGUUCUGUCAAGGUUCAGCUGUCAGGGAGGAAGCUCCUGGUUGGAGGAGACUCACGCAACGUGAGUUCGAAGGGAGCCAAGAAAAUCUAUAAACAAGGUGAGAAAAUGGGAUCAAAUUUCAAAAGACUUUUUGGUGAGAAAGAUGAGAUUGUUUUGCUGAUCCAUGAAUGGUUAUCUUAGCUUUUAUGUUCCCUUGAGACAGUUCAAGGAGAAGCUUCAGACUAUGAGGAGGAAAUAUACAACUACAGAAAUUACGGGUGAACAAGCUUCUGCUUCAAAUCCUCACCAACAAAAGUGCUUUCAGUUGUCAAAGGCUAUUUGGCGAUUUGGGGAGCUGAAGGGAUAGCUUUUCAAUCUGCUAAUGGGAAAUCAAAGGAGAGUAAGAAGAGAUUGACAAAGAAGCCUGACUUGGUGUCUUCAGGUGAUGGUAAGAAUGCCCAAGACGGUAGUAAAAGAGAAGAUAUGGAGAAUUCAUUUUUUCUUGGUAUGAAUUUUCUGAAAGCAAAAUGGACCAUGAUGCCAACUGAGACUAAGAAGGAAACCCAAGAGAAGAUAGAAGAAAUUGCAUGCCAAUGAACUUGAAUGUGAGAAAAAUUGAAGAGAAAUUGAUGGCAUAAAUGAAGUUACCUCUUUGAUCAGAAAUAAAUAACGAAACAUUUUAAUGUGCUAUCUUGAUAGUGCAUAACGUAGAAUUGAUUUUGGAUGCCAACAUUACAUACACAUCUUCGUAUGGCUAUAUAAUUCCUGCUUGGAAGUUAUUGGAAAAUGUUAAUAAAAAAUCUAACAAAUAACAAUUCUGCGUGAAUUUAAUAGUUUUGGGGCCUGAAAUUAAUAGAUUAUUGGGUUCUCUUUUUAGAUGCAAUGGCUAUGUGCUCGCAUCAUCAUCUUCUACAGCUGUUUUUGAACUUAAAUCUUAACUUUCUGGUGUCCUUUGUGUGUUUUUGAUUAGCUUAUGAAAGAAAAAUAAAACGAGCAAAUACUAUAAAUCUUUGUUUCAGUUUAUGCAAAUGUUUAAAGUUCAAAAAAAAAACUGCAACAUUUUAUGUAAGUUUACAAUAUUUUCUUUUUUACUUUGUACAAGAGGAAAGUAAUCAAAAAAAUAUAUAUAUAUUCUCUCUGUUUCAAAAAAUAUAUAUACUUUCUCUGUUUCAAAAAAUGUAAGUUUUAGCAUUAAAAACAAUUAUUCGAAAAAAUAUAUGUACUCUCUCUGUUUCAAAAAAUGUAAGUUUUAGUAUUUUCACACAUAUAAAGAAAACAUAUCAAAUAUUGAAUAUUGAUAUAUUAAUUUGUAAUAAACUAUAUUCCAAAACUUUUUAUCAAUAGAAUUUCAGAAAACAUUUUUAAGGUUUACAUUUACCGGUAGAAAAUGUAUUAAAAAUGUAAAAAAAUAUUUUUUGAAAUAGAUAUAUAUAUAUAUGUUAAAAGGUGAAUGUUUCUGAAACGGAAAAGAAUAUAUCUAAAACAGUUAAAAAUAACAAAAAAAAAAUGUAUAAAAUUACGACAAAAUAUAUGUCACAAAUUCGAACGUCCUCAAAUACAAACCAAAUACUAAUAUGAAAACAACAUAUAUAUUUACAUAAUAUGAACAAGCGAUGCAGUAUAACAUUAUUUGACAAAAAUAAUAAAAGUAAAAUAAAAUAAAUAUAUAGAAAGACUUAAACCGUUAAAAUUAAAAUAAUCUUAUAAAAAUAUCUCAACAAUCCUAUUAUUAAAUUUAGUUUUGUAAUAAAAUUUGGGGAAUACCAAAAAAUUUCAACCAAAAGGGUGAUAAAAACGAAUAAAUGAUACAACAGUUUACACAUAAUAUAUAAUCAUAUUUUUAAAAAUAUUAAAUAUUAAAUAAAAACUGUAGUUAGGUUGUAAUAUAUUGUUUUUGUUUAUAGUUUACCAAAUGAAAUACUAAAUGGUAAUAUUUUUGAAAGAAUUUUUUACUGUAUUUAACUUAUACAACAUUUUGAAAAGUUGUUUAAUUUACUUUUUAUGAAAUUGUUUUUCGAAUAAGAGAUAUAAUUUCACCUUACUUAAAUAAUGAGUAUUUAUAUUAGCUUUACCUAUUACAAUGGUAAUAAAAUAUAUUAUAAACUCAAUAGCAUACAAGCAAAGUAAUAAACAAAUAUAUGACAUAAAUAAUAUAAAUAUAACAAACUAAAAUAUAUAAUCUGCGCCUAACACGGACCAAACCUAGUAAAUAUUAAGUUGUGGCAUAUUAUUUAAUUCACGAUUAUCCUUUCAAAUCUUAAAGUGGUUUUGUUUUAUGACAGUGAUUAUGAAAUGCAGUAUAAACAAAGUAAAAUUACUAACCACAUGUACUGUGAUCUAAAGUACUACGGUCUCAACAAAACUUUAAUUAGAAUCGAGACUAAUAUAAAUAAUAUUUUAUUUGUUUCAUUUGUCAGAACAUAGUUUCCAACAACAUAUACAUGUGUGAUUUAAUAUAUUCCAAUUUCAGUGCGCUUAAUAUUUUUGGAUCAAGACUAACAUAUAAGAAGCAUAUCUCCUAUAUAUUAAUCCUCGAACAUUACAACAUGUUUUCGUAGCCAUGUGUCAUCACUAUGAUGAUUCUUAAAAUUCUUAGAAAAAUAAGUUAGUCCAUAUAAAUAUAUAUUAGAUUUUUUUAUUAAACUAACUAUCAAAUUGAUUAGUAGUGUAACAAAGAGUAUUCUCAAUUCUCCUUAAAUAAAAUAUACGGAAUUACGUAAUAUGAUUAACAUAUAUAUGACAAUUAAUGAUUAUGAAAAUAAUUUUGUACACUCUCUCUUUUUUUGUUUAAUUUUAUAUUAUUAAAAGAAAUUAAAAAAUCAUAUUAAGCAUAUAAUAAAAAAAUUUAGAUUUUGUCUUAUAUUUUGAAUUUUAUAAAAAGACUAUAAAUUAUUAAAAAUGAUCAAAGUUCCACACUGAAAAUUUUGUGAUCAAUGGUUUAACUUUUGUUUUUGUUCAAACAAGAUACAAAUGAUCAUAAAUCGUAUGAAUAUGAAGUCUCAUUAAUAUAUUUUCAUAUUAUACAUAUAUAUCAUUGAUAAAUCUCACAUUAAGAGUUUUGUGAUUACUGGUUUAAAUUUUUGUUUCAACAAAUAUACAAAUGUUAAUAAAAUCAUAUGAGUAGAAAGUAUCAAUAAUAAAUAUUUAUAUUAAAAUAUACUAUAUAUCUAUGUCAAUAUCACUAAAGUUUAAUUAUAUAUCAUAUAAAGUAAAUAAAUUCAUUCAGAUUAAAUAUUUUAGUUUUGAUUUUAUUCCUAAACAAAAAUAAACAAAACUCAUAUCAGUAAAACAGAAACGAGAACGAAAGCACAAAUUUAUAGAGUUAGAAAAUAAAAUCACUUAUGAAGAGUCAAUAAUAAUAAACAAAUCGAGAGCAGAAAACCUGAUCAUCUUUCGUCAUUUUACAAUCGAUGUUGCCUAUCUGGUUUUUGUGAUUAGUAUUGAACCGCGAGUGAUGCCAAGUGAUUAGAAAGAAAAUGAGAAGCGAGAAGUCAACUGUUGGAUUUUAAGUUGGAUUCUAACAGAAACAGAGGACGCGGAAAGGUUCUUCGAGAAAUUUAGUGGAUUGGAGAUGUUUCCGGUUUUACAUGAAACCACAUAGUUGGACGAGAAAACUUAUCGGAAAAAUAUUCUUAAGCCGUUAAGGUCAAAUGGCUCUGAGAAUAAUUUAUAAAUUAUUUUGGAAGAAUAAAAUUAGGUUUUUGGUUGAAGAAAUAAUUUCCCAGCCGUCCGGAUAAAUUUUGGUACGAUCGGAUCUGAUCGGAAAUUGUUUCGGUAUGUGUGGAUAUGUUCGGAUAACGACAGCUGGAUGUUAACUCAUCAAGCUGUCUGUAUUCUUCAGCUGCUGUGGAUUAGUAAGCUUCCUGCCUGUUUGUCCGAUGAUGCAGCUGCUAUUGAUGAAGCUGCUGGACACGUGUCUCCAAACCGAUGAUGAUCUAUGGCCAGCUUCUGCCCCCUUUAGCCACCUCCUGCUUGCUCCAUACAACCACGACCAGAACCUUUACCUUCACCCCUCUCACAUAUAAAUACCCUUUAGUAGACCCUUAGGACUCCUCACACGGUCACACCAACUCAAACCAUAUAAAGAAAAUCUGAGAGUUUCGAUCGUAGUAUCUGAGAGACCCGAAUAGGAAAUUCGAAGGUAAGAUUCCCGACCUUAGUUUUUCCCUUAAGUUUCUUAAUCUAUGUAUAGAAGUAUAUCUAUAUCCUGGUUCCGACUAACGGGGUGUUUGGGAUACUCUCUUUUCAUUCUAAGUAUCAGGCGUUAAAGAACCAAAAUUCUGCCAAAAUGUUUUUAGGAGCUAAACCACCAACCAAACCCCACCUAACCAUAAAUCCCAGGUGAGUCUCGGUUAUGGGUUAUGAUUGUUGUGUGUGCGGUUAGUGCCUGUAAAACAAGAGUAUUGGUUGAUGCAUUGUUAGGUUGCGCGUUUAAAUAUAUAAUGAUAUGAUAAUGAUUGAUGCUUGUGAAAUAUAUUGAGUUAUAUCAUUCGGACCUCGGCUCUAGGGGUAUAACAUGUUUGUGAUGCAUUGAUGUUGUGUUUCAUAUACUUGUGUGAAUGCAUUAUAUUUUUGGGCCUCGGCUCAGAUAGUAUAACAUGUUUGAUCAUGUCUUAACGGGGAAACCCGUAAAUCCACGGACUUGAUCCGUGAGGGUCCAACACUCGGGUUGAGUGUCGUGAGAGUCAAUGGUGGCCACUCGAGGACCGUGCCUUGUCCGGGGCCUUACCAAAAUUAGUUUCGGGCAGGAUGCAAAGACACAUGUGAUAGGGAUAGCUACCCUCGACCGUGUAGCUGCAUGACGAUGCGGCAAGUGUGUUAUCCGGACCAUCGGCUUUUUAUACUUUGUGUGUAGAGUCAAUGGCCGCAAGAAGAGAUGUGCUAUGGACUUCGAAUCGAGAUAAGAACCAUUGGCGAGAGGCAGUCCUCGACGAUCGAUAAUGAUCUAACCACCUGUGAAGGGUGGAUGCGUGGGUUACUUGAUUGCUUCCAAUUUUGCAUUGCAUAUUGCUAGAAAUAAUUGAUCUUUCCAAGCUUAUGACUUGCGCUUCAAUAUUACUUGAUAGUUAAGCUUUCGUAAGAACAAUCUCAUUUUCUGCGAACUAAGCUUGACUCUCUCCCUCCACGAAUCUGAUCAGUUCAAGAGAAUCCCUAUCAAUACCUCUGAAGAGUUUAUCGUUCUGAGAUUUCCAAAGAAACCAAAUUAUUCAUGGGUAUGGGUCACUAUCCAUCUCUGGGGCCUCAAUAUUUCUCUUUCGCCAAAAAAAGAUAAUCAAUAUUGGCAUAAAUACUUGGGCACAGGAAGAUGUCUGGGCUCGACGAUGUUUUUGAUAGAGACCAUGCAUGUAGUGCCGGUGGGCACUGAAAAUGUCAUGGUUGACUAAUUCAUCAGGUUAGAUGCAUCUAGGACAAUAGCUUUCACAUCCCAUAUGGCGAUGUAUCCAGUUAUGUGUUACGUCUACAUGGCCAGUUAUCAGUUGCCAAAUGAGAUGACGCAAUCUUUUGGGGUGGCUUUAUUCUCCAAGCAAAAACUUGCAGCUUGGUGAUACUAGGCUCUAGUGAUGGCAAUUCAUGUACUUGCACGUGGACCUGGCCCGAUAGGUAUUGCUGCGGGCGGGUCUGGUCAUGGAUAAUCCAAGCCCAAAUUUUUGCAGGCCUCACGGGUAAGGUAUUGUGCGGAAUUGGGCCUUGCGCGGGAUAUGCCCGAAUGAACUUGCGGGCAAAUUGAGGACCCGCAACAUUCUUCCAUUUCAACUCUUCACUUGAAAAAACGAGAGAGGGUUAAAGAAUGGCGUUUCGAACGUGAUCUUUACCAACACAAUGGUUGGA
rnacentral:lncRNA from 1 species